rnacentral:snoRNA from 2 species
CUGCAUGAGGCACCCUACUGUAAAUAUGGACAUACAGUAAAGUUGAUGGAAUUUAGGUGAGCAUUAUUUUGAGACAGAUGCUCAUAAAGGACCAUCAUACAUUC